GGUUGAUGUGAUGAUAAGCUUUCACAGAAACUCUAGUGUUGACCAAAAUUCAGACUACAAUUAUCUGAUCACCU